rnacentral:lncRNA from 10 species
GCUUUUGGGUGUUGGACAACCAUAGGCAAAACUGAAAUGGAACAGGGGCAGAAAAUAGCACACUUUUACUCUACGCAACUGUUGCUUUUUCAUGAUCUUCAGGAAUUUUACUGGGAUAAUUAUCCAAAUAAAUUGCAAGCAUUCUAUCCAAAUGGAGCUCUUUCUGAGAUGAAGAGAAUUCUCAAUGUCAAGAUUUGAACAAGAAGAGAAUGGAAUACACAAUAUGGACAUCCAUAAAAAUUCAUCAGAGAGCAUUUUACUACUGAGCUGCAAAGAUGACAAGAGCACCUCAAAGGCAGCAGCCUCAAGGAGCAGCCAUGGCCCCAGACUUGUCGCACGGAUGCAGAAAACUUAAUGGAGGAGGCUGAGGUUGUGGAAAAUGCACUAGAAUCAACAAACAUGGGGACUAAUUCAACUCGGAUAUCAUGUCUUCAGAGAAGUUUCUCCUGCCCUCCUCUCCCUGUAGAAUUAAGUAUUCUUCCACUGUGC